UACUCUUUCAGCGAGACUCUUUUGGUUUUUAAUUUAUUCGUUUCGUUAUGCGUUUUGAAAAUUAGUAUUGCCUCUCAUGAUUAUUUCUUGUUAAAUUCAUUGUGAUAGUUUCGUUUGGCGUUCAUAGUUGGAACUCAUAUUUGUACUCUGUAGACUAGUACAACAUGUCUAAAUUUAUUUUGAUAAUUGUAGUAAUGUGCAUGUUAAUAUUUUGGAGACUUUGUGUAGAUAUUUCAUUUCAGUGUAACAUGUACAUGUUAGAACCCCUUUGUUGUGUCGCAUGUGUUGUGACAUUAUAUUUUGUUAGAAUACCGUAGGGUAUACCUGAGCUAUAACCACCUGUG
rnacentral:lncRNA from 1 species